rnacentral:rRNA from 1 species
AGUGAACGCUGGCGGUAGGCCUAACACAUGCAAGUCGAACGGCAGCACAGUAAGAGCUUGCUCUUACGGGUGGCGAGUGGCGGACGGGUGAGGAAUACAUCGGAAUCUACUUUUUCGUGGGGGAUAACGUAGGGAAACUUACGCUAAUACCGCAUACGACCUACGGGUGAAAGCAGGGGAUCUUCGGACCUUGCGCGGUUGAAUGAGCCGAUGUCGGAUUAGCUAGUUGGCGGGGUAAAGGCCACCAAGGCGACGAUCCGUAGCUGGUCUGAGAGGAUGAUCAGCCACACUGGAACUGAGACACGGUCCAGACUCCUACGGGAGGCAGCAGUGGGGAAUAUUGGACAAUGGGCGCAAGCCUGAUCCAGCCAUACCGCGUGGGUGAAGAAGGCCUUCGGGUUGUAAAGCCCUUUUGUUGGGAAAGAAAAGCAGCAGGUUAAUACCCCGCUGUUCUGACGGUACCCAAAGAAUAAGCACCGGCUAACUUCGUG